rnacentral:rRNA from 1 species
GACGUAGGAGGCGAGCGUUGUCCGGAUUCAUUGGGCGUAAAGAGCACGCAGGCGGUUUGGCAAGUCGGAUGUGAAAACCCGAAGCUCAACUUCGGGCCUGCAUCCGAAACUGCCCGACUAGAGGUAGGUAGGGGAGAUCGGAAUUCCUGGUGUAGCGGUGAAAUGCGCAGAUAUCAGGAGGAACACCGGUAGGCGAAGGCGGAU